AAAUCAUGAUGGGAACACCUCAUCAAAAGCUCUCCAAAUCACUCUCAUGCCUCGAACAAGGAUUCUGCUUCAUAUUGUUAGAAGCAACAUAUCUCUUUCAUAAGCUU